AUCCAGGAACUGGAGAUGGUAAGGAAGAUCAUGGGAAGUAUGCAGUGCCACCUCUUUCAAACGACUAGUGAUCAAUACUCUGCUGCCUCUGUUGUUGUCCGGAAAAACAUCUUGCACCUCGUCCCAAUCUUGCCUUUUCCACAGGUCAUCUACCACCACAAGAUAUGUUCUACUCUCCAAGCUGUUUCGCACCAGUUUCUUCAGCUCCUCCUCACUCAAGCUACUAUUGUCUUGAGUGCUUUUCUUUCCUUUCUUCUUGCCUCUGCAUUGUUGUUCAAAAUUUGGCAUCAAAUGCUUAAGAAGGCCAAGCAAAAGCUCCCUAACUCUGCACUCGUUUGACACAUAAACCCACGCUCGACACUCGAAGUGUUGCUUCACCUCGUUGCUGUUAUAGACCUUCCGGGCAAGGGUGGUCUUGCCCAAUCCCCCCAUGCCAAUGAUAGAGACAACUUUACGAUUUGAACCACCUUCCAAGAGUCGUUUGAUGAUAUCCUUGGAGUCAUCGACAAAGCCAACCACAUUUUCUUCCUCUACAUCUCUUCUUAGCUUGUGUAAUGAUUGCGCCCUUUCCUUCUCCUCCUCCUCUUCUGCUGCAGAUUGAUUAUUGAUUUCUUUGAAAGCAUCAUAUUUGUCCUUGUUUUCGCGUAUUUCGUUGAGAGUGGUUUUGAUCUUGUCUAUUUUGUCGGCUACGUGGUGAAGCAACCUUGCUUGGGCAAAGCCACGGAGCAUCCUCCCCAGUAUGGUUCUCCUCUUGUAAAUGGCAACUUUGGCUACGAAAGUGUCGAUGACAUCCUCAGCUAGGUGGGCCACAUCUCUGAUUUGGUUCACCACUGUAUUUUCAAUUCCCUUCUUUCUCUUUGAGGUAUUGAGAAGGUCGUUGAUCAUUUGAAGCUCGUUCUGAAGGGACUGGACUCUGUCCUCCACGCCAUACAGCAAGUUAGCUUCGUGUGCCACAAGCUGGGAUAAGUGAUCCAAAACAAAAGUAACUACACUGUCUGGCAUUACACUGUCUGCCAUUACAGCAUAGACGUGCCUGCAGAUUUUGAUCUGUGCUUAGAUAAUGUGUUUGUGGUUGGUGAUGGAAGAAGAGGAAGAAUGAUUUACUAAGGAAGAAUGAAAAAACAAUGGAAGGAGAACUUGAUUGUAUAGCUUGCAGCCACACACUAAAGAAUAUAUAAUGGAAAGUGGUUGCCAUUGACUUUGCGUCAACCAUGAAUACGGUUGGAAUAUUUAUGAUGAUACAACAUUUAAUUGCAUAAUAACACCUUCCACUCAUUUAAUUGCAUAUUGCUCUGUGGCAUUGCAACAGUCCAAUUUCAAUAUUUUUAUUUAUUUAAUAUUAGUAAAACUUUCUCUUCCAAUAUGAAAUAAAUAUAAAGACAGAUGAGUAGACAUAGCAGGAAGGUGCCAUGUUACUCAGCAAUAUGAAAUUAAAUGUUUCAUAAAUAUUCCAACAACUUUUAAACUACAUUCAAAAUGGAAUUAAAUGUUUCAUAAAUAUUCCAACAAUUUUUAAACUACAUUCAAAAUAGAAUUAAAUGUUUCAUAAAUAUUCCAACAACUUUUAAUGGAAGGUUUGUAACAACGUGUUUUUUUUUAAAAAAAAAACACCAACAUGAACCUUAUCCCCCUGCACCACAAUACCUCUUUUAUUUUUUUUCUCUUUCUCUUUCUCUUUCUCUUUCUUUUUCUCUUUCUCUUUCUAAAUCUUUCCCUUCUCUCUUAAUUUUCCCCUCCCAAUCUUCAUCUAUUUUAGAAUUUGAUCGGAUCACGUUGUAGCUGGCGAGUUAAAGACCAUUUCUACCCGAUCAGAUUUUCAAACAGAGUAAGUUCAUUUUUACUCUAAAUAUCCUUUGUUCUCUGUUUUUUCUUAGGAUUUAGUCAUCAAUCUUGGUGGGGUCAGUUGAGAAGUUUAACCCUCUCAACUUAUUCUACUAUAUACUAAAUUUUGUUCUGUUUGGAUAAUUUGCAUUAGGCCCGUAAAUCUUGAAGCUUAUCCAAACGGUGGGGAAUAAAAUUCUAAAAGUUGCUUGAAAAGCAAGCAAUUGAGGUAAGGGAAGCUAAAUUUAAUUUUUUAUAGCACCCUAGGAUAGAAGAUCUGAAUGCGGAAGGGACGUGGUCCCAAUAUUGAUUUUCUCGUGCAGGGGUGUUAUUUGUUUAUAUAUUAUUUAAACUUUAUAAAUAUUAUAUUUUGAUAGCUUGAGAGUUAAAUAUUGUUUUUGACGUUGAAAAAGUUCUGGAAUGAUAUGAAUUUUUAAAUGUUAUGUGAUUGAAUGAUAUGUAUUAUAUGCGGAUGAUGUAAAUUGUAUGAAAGUGAUGUCAUACAUUUGGGAUAAUGUAUGAGUUGUUGUUUGAUGGUACGUUAAGUAUGAAAAGCCUAUGUUUAACGGAGAUCCUCUGGCUUCACUAAUGAUCUAAGUCAUGUAGACUAAGAUAUUAGGUGGUGAGAAGCUGAGAGGGAGUUCAUACACACCGGGUCCCACUGUAGACACUCGGUAUUGGAUGUUUGAACUUACCCUGAUCCUUUCUAUUAGAUUCGCUGGUAAUCUUUGGGUCAGGUGUUAGUCUCUGGUAGGGACAUACUUAAUGAGUCUUCCGGAAGAUGAAGUGGGAUUGAAAUGAAAUCCAAUGAUUGUGAUUGAAAAUAGAUCCAUGUGUGGUCUAUAUGAAUGAUGAAAUUGAUAUUGAAAUUUUACAUGACAACAUUUAAAGUAAUGUUUAUAAAUGAUUUGUUUGGUUGGUUCUUUUUGUAAGAAUUAGAUAUGAUAUGCAAUUUCUUUUCACUAGCUUACCCUUGCUUUUCUUGCUGUGUUUAAACUGCGAUGACUGUACUAUGUACACGAGCAGAUGAUCUUACAGGUAUCUGAGGAUCAAAAGAGUUUUAAGGCGUUGAUUUUGAAACUUAUAUUGUAAAUAUUUGUAUUUCUAUAUGUCCUAAUCAUGUAUUAAGAAUGUUUUGAAAAACUUUAUGCUUGUAUAGAAAUAAGUAGAAUCUGUAUUGUAAUAGUUAGAUGUAUUUUUCCGGGGUGUUACAAGGUUGGUUGAACCGUAUUCAUGGUUGACGCAAACUCAGUGCAAAAAUAAAACCAGAUAUUUUACCAAAAAUAUCUUAAUUUAAACUAAAAAUUAUUUCCCUUGAUCUUCUUCUCCUCUUGCAUUCAUUUAUUUACAUAUCUAAAACCAUAUAAUACUAGUUCGUUCAUUAUCAUUUUCUCAUUUAUAAUUUUAUAUCUAAACAAUUCAAAAAUAUGAUAUUUGUUAAGAGACUAUUUUAAAUAUAAAAUUUUAUCCACUAAUUUAGUAAAACAAUUAUGUAUAACUUUCCAUAAAAAUUUUAAAAAUAUAAAAAUUAUUUAUAUGUAUAAUUGUCAUUCUAUAAAAAAAAAUUCCAUUUAUAUACUCAUUCCAACUUUUUCUCAAUUUCAACUCUUAUAAAAGUAGAACUUUAUCUUCCAAUUUAAAUCUUUUUUUUAUUUACAUAUAAGUAUUUGUAUUGCAUUCUUUUUCUGAAUUAUGAUUUUUUACAACAAUUUUUAGAUUAUUAUUUUUAUUAUUAUAUAUGAUUGUUCGAUAAAUAAAAUAAAGCUUUUUUGAAAAAAAAUUAGGAUGUAUACAUAUAGUGUUAAAUCAACACCUUGCUUCUCUUAAGUUUUUUUAAUUUUUAAACCUUUUUUUUUAAAUAUGCAACACUCAAAUAUGACUCAAAUAUGACUUAAGAGAGAGUUUGUGUAGUAAAUAAUUAUUUAUAUGAGGUUAAAAUUACAGAAAAGCUUCAUUCACAAAACAAAUCUAAACUGAGGUUUAAAACCGAAUUUUGAACGGAGUUUUAUAUUUUUAUUUAAAAAUAUUAAAAAAUAGUUUUAAAUUUUCAAAAUAAAAAAUAUCAUCUUAAAAAAGAAAUAUUUUAAAUAAAAUUAUGAAAAAAUAUAUGUUUUAAAAAUAAAAAUUUAGAAAGAUAAUUAUAUUGAAGAAUAAUAUUUUAAUUAAAAAAAUAAAUUUUUACCUCUUUAAAUAGUGAUAUAUACUUUCUCGAACAAUAUUUUCAUAUUUUCUUGAUAGUAGUGAAUACUUCCAAUUUGAUAUAAGACAUAGUAAAAUAGCGUGGUUUUGAAUUUUAAGACUUUUUUUAUAAGAAAAACCCGAUCGAAACAUUUUUUUUUUCAAAAAUAAAAAUGAAAAAAUUAGUUUUAAAAAUAGGAAAAAGGAAAGGUUAAGAAAAUAUAUAAUUUAUAUUUUAUUAUGUUUAAACAAAAUAACUUGUAAAAAGAUAAGGAAAUUGGGAGAAAUGAUAUCCAAAUAUAUAUUAUGAAAGUUUUUGCAAUAAAUAAUUUAAAAAGACUUGGGGUCAACAGUUAUUGUUUUAUAUUUUUCCUUUUAUUUUGAGUCAACCAUGAAUAAUCUUCAACUCAACCUUCCACUCAUCACUUAUUUAACUGCACCUUCCUGCUAUGUGCCAAAUUGCCAGAGAAUAUAUAUUAUUUUCUAUUUAGAAAUUUAUAAAUUUCAUUUAUUUUAAAUUUUUAUUUAUAUAUUACAUUAAAUAAGUCACCGUAUUUAUUUAUUUAGGAUUUUGAAUAAUUUUGAAAUUCAACUUACUUUGAAUUUUUAAGUAGAAAAUUAAAUAAUUUAGAUUUUAUAUUUAUUUAAGAUUUUAAGAUUUUAUUUCUUUGAAAUUACUAGUAGAAAAUAAAACAAUUUAGAAUUUGUAUUUGUUUAGGAUUGUGGAAAAUUUAGAAAUUUUAUUAAUUUUAGAUUUUUAUCCUAUAAUGAAAUUAAAUAAUUUAGGAUAUGGAUAAAUUUUGAAACUUGAAAAUUUUCAGAAUUUUACUGAUUUUUAAUUUUAUUUAAAAAUGAUAUUAUAAGUAGAAAAUAAAAUAAUUUCAGAGUUUUUAUUUAAUUAGGAUUUUUACCAACUAUAGAAAUUUUAUUUAUUUGAGUUUUAUUUAUUUUUGUAUGACAUAAAAUAAGUUAGGAUUUGUGUUUAUUUAGAAUUUUUUAUAUUUUAGAUUUUUUUUUAUUAUUAUUUAGAAUAAUUUAAAAAAAUUAUUUAUUUCAAAUAUUUUCUUGUAAAUCUUUAUUUAAAUAUGAAAUUUAAUAAUUUAAGAUUUAUAUUUACUUAUAAUUUUAAAUAAUUUAGGUAUUUUAUUUUUUGAAUUUUUUAUUUAAGUAUGAUACUGAAUAAUUUAUUAUUUGUAAUUUUUUAAAAUUUUAAAUAAUUUAGGAAUUUUUAUUGAAAUUUUUUAUUUAAGUAUGAUAUUAAAUAAUUUAAAAUUUGUAUUUAUUUAGGAUUUUGAAUAAUUUAGAAAUUCGAUUUAUUUUAGAUUUUAUUUAAUUAAAAUAUUAAAUUAUUUAGAUUUUGUAUCUAUUUAGGAUUUUGAAAUUUUAAAAAAAUAUUAUUUAUUUAUAUAGGAAAUAAAAUAAUUUAGGAUUUAUAUUUAUUUAGAACUUGAAAAAAUAUAGAAGUUUAAUUAAUUUAGAUUUUUAUAUUAGAAUGUCAUUAAAUAUAAUUUUAGAAUUUUAUUGAUUUUCAAUUUUUAUUUAAGAAUGAUAUUAAAUUUUUUGGGACUUAUAUUUUUUAGGAUUUUAAAAAUUUACAAAAUUUUAUUUACUUUUAAUUUUUAUUUAAGUAGGAAAUAAAAUAGUUUAAGAUUUUGUAUUUAUUUAGGAUUUUAAAAAACUUAAAAAAAAUUAUUUAUUUGAUAUUUUUAUUUAAAAAUAAUAUUAAAUUAUUUAGAAUAUGUAUUUAUUUAAAAUUUUGAAUAAUUUAACAUUUUAAAAUGAUAGAAAUUUUAUUUAUUUUUGAUAUUUUUAUUUAAGUAUGUCAUAAAAUAAGUUAGGCACCGGAGAAAGCAAUGGCUUGUAGCUUGCAACCACACACUAAAUGAUAUCCAAAUAAUUUAAAAAGACUUGGGCUCAAGAAUUGUUGUUUUAUAUUUUUCCAUAUAUAUGUGCCAAAUUGAUAUAUAUAUAUAUAUAUAUAUAUAUCUUACCAAUUUCUUAUCACUCAUAAUAAUAACGUAAUAAAAAUUAGAAUAUGAUAAUCAAAUGACUUUAAUUUAGUGGUUAGAGGUAUCCUGGUUAGUGGUCCUAAGUUUAAGUCUCACCUACAACAAAAUGGUAAUAAUAAUAGAUUGUAAUAAUUAGAAAUAAUAAUUGUAAAUGAUUAAUAAUAUUUUUAAUAUUAAUAAUAAUUAAUAACACUAAUAAUUACCGACAAAAGAUUUUAUUGGUAAAUUUACCGAUAGAAUAUUUUUCGUCAAUAAAUUUACCGACAAACAUAUUAUUUAUAAAUUUUUAUCUGUCGUUUUUUCAUCGGUAAUGUAUACUUGUUGACGGAUUUUUGGUCUUACCUAUGGAUUAGACCGUUGAUUAUAUGUUUUUUUUUUAGUAUGUGAAACUUUUAUCACUAGUCCAUUCAUUUCUUACUUUUAAACUAAAUAAUCUUAAAGUUGCUAACAAUCUUGUGAAGUUAUUGAAUACUGGAUAAUUGUUUCUCCAAAUCAAGCAUAAAAGAAUCAUACACAUGUAUUCUUCCAAAAUUUUGUUACCACCAUCAUGUAUCCUUUCCUUUAAAUUAUCGUUUAUCCCUUCUUUAAUAUUUUUUAUCGUCAACAUAAUUUGAGUGACUAAUAUUUUUUCGUGUCGUAUACGUAUUGUAUAACUCUUAACAAUAUAAAAGAUAAAUCGAUGAUAAUUAUAAUAUCCCAACUAUUAUAUGAAUAAUUGUUAUUUGAUUCUUUGAUUUCUUGAAAUUAUAUCAUGCUUGUUAUGAUGUGUUGUUAGGAUUUGUUGUAAUUUUUUUCUUUUGUUUGCAUUGUAUUCCUUUUAUAUCUUGUGAGUCCAUAAAGUGUUUUUCCAGGAAUGCAAAAGGAUGAGUGUGGCGGUAUUUGAUGAUCAUAUAUUUACUCAUACUUAAUAGCUUUAAUCAUAGAUGUCUUUGACUAAAAUCAUGUAUAACUCUACUAUUUUAAGUAAGAAUCAUCUAACUGGGUUUAUUUGGACCUUAACUAUUAUUUAUGAUAAUAUUGUAAUUUAGUCCCAGUAGACGGUCCAAUGCUUCUCAGAGUUCAUUGGAUGGUCUAAUAAGAGCGUUUGCUAAAGAGUUUUAAGGAAGUUUUUAUCUCUACAAGUGGGUUGAAUAUGCGAAAGUCCAAGUUGCUUAUUUGAAUCAAAGAGAAAAAAAAAAUCUUAAGGGAAGAAUUAGAGAAUAAAAUCUAAUAUAUCAUAAACAGAAUUGGAAGCAAAUCUUUUGCAAAAUACAAAGAAACAUAGUUCAUGACGAAAGUGAAAAUAAAAUUUAGGAAUUCUGAAAAGUUAAAAACUUAAAAAUCGAAGCAAUAUCUAAACUGAAAUAUAUUUUUGAGAUCCUUGAAACAAAGAAACCUACAAAAGGAUGUAAGCUUCAAGGAGAAAGGGGAAAGUUUCAGAGCUUAACACAAUGCAUUCGAAAAACAGAGCAUUAGAGUUUUCUUAGGUUUUAUUUGUUUUUCUUCGUUAUAAUUCUUUCAUUUACCUUCGUAUGGAAGGUUAAACUCAUUCAUGUUGAUUCUCUUGUGACUUUGCAAUGAAUUUUGAGAUUUGUGUUCAAUAAAGUUUUAUUCUUAAAUUCUAUGUAGCAAUACAUGUAAAAAGGUUUGGUCUUUUUGAAUUUUGAUUUUUUUUAAAGAAUUUUCUUUGAACAAUUGUUAAGAAUUCUGUUAUUUUAAUUAAUUGGAGUUUUUGGUUAGUUUAUUUUACAUGCGGGUUAGACCGCAGUUCGCUACCUCUCCUCCCAGAAGUUUGCUACUAACUUCCUGCUAGAACAAAUACAGUCUGACUAACCUAAAUAAAUCACUUAUGUUUAAUUGAAUACAUACAAACUAGGGGAUCUAGACACCAACAGAAAAGGAAAAACAAGAAGGGACUUUAGAGGUUACCCAGGACCAGACUUUUAGUUGAGCCAUGGAGUUAGUAUGAAGAGUGACAGUGGAUUUAGUUUUAGGUAAAGUCUUAUAUUUAAAAUUUGUUAAUAAAAAAUAAUAUAAAAAAAAGAUUUCAAUAGGAUAGUUAAAAAAUUAGUCAUCUUCAUUAAAAUAUUCGUAUACAUUUACAUACAUAUAUAGAAAAAAUAGAUGCAAAACAAUAAUUUUAAUUAUUUUUAAUCAAACAUUCUAACAAUCCCUAUACUUCAACUUAUAUUUUAAUCUUAAUUGAAUGAAUUGAAACAUGAAUAAAAUUUUAACUUUUCAGUAGUAGAAAUAAUUAUUUUUUUAAUUAAUGAAAUUUUAAUUUUUGAAAAAAAAUAUUUUUCUUAUGCGGGCUGGCUCACAGGCCUGCGGGUUAUUUCUUAUGUGGGACGAGUCAGUGAAAUGAGUCCGCACUUGUUGUAUGGGGCGUGCUAACACAGUCCGCAUUUUGUGGGCCAAACGCAGGACGAGCCAACCCUCAUUGUCACCCCUAGUUUAUUUAAUUAUAAUCAAUCUUUUGUUCACUUAGUCAAGAGAUAAACGAUAAACAUUUCACAAGUAGAUGCUUGGAACUUGUGAGAUACUAAAUACAUCAGUAAACGAUUGUUUUGAUAAUAAGAUUAUGUUGACUUGGUUUGUUGAUAAGAUUCUAUUAAAUUCUAUUGACACUUGUUUGGUUAAGUUUGACAUUAUGUAAAAAUUGAAAAAAGUGAACAUCUUAAGAAAAUCAAUAAUAAAUUCAAUGUUGAAUGAACUUAAGAGUUGGACUGGAUUUUUUUUACUAUUUUUCAAUUAUGUACUUUAUUUUUCUACACAAUAAUCUCAAUCUUUUUAUUUUCAUUAUUUUUUCUCACCAUUUUGAUUGCAAAUAAGUUUUGAAUGCUAUCUUAACUAGAUUCAGUAGUGGAUUUGUUGGAAGAUGACUUGGAGUCAUCUAACCUUAACUACACUAUCAUUUUUCUAUGAUAUUCGACGAUUUACGUGAAUCAUUUUAAUUUCACCACUAAAUGAUAGUUAUCACAUAUCAAUGCUUAUUUAUAGAUUAAAAUAAAAUCUUAUUUUAAAUUUUGUAUAAAAUAAUUUCAUACAAAUAAAACAACAUACUAAUGUACAUAUUAAAGAAUCACCACACUAAAGUAUCAUAAAAAUGAAAUAAUUCCCCUUUAAAUUUUUUUAAAUCAGCAUACCAAUGUUAUAAGAAAAAAUUCAAAAUAUAAUUAUUAAAUAUUGAAUAUUUAUCCUCAAAUGUGAAAAAGGAAAGUUCAAUGAAGACACCAAAGAAAAAUGAAGAUGAAAAACGAUUAACCUUCACAAUGGUGAAGAGAACAAAUGGUAAGUCUUCACAUUUUACGACAAUAUCAACAAUCAUAAUCAAUAGAGACAACAAAGACCACAACUAUCACAAGAAAAAUAACAAUAAUAAUAAUAAAUGAGACAAAAAAUAUUAUAUUUAUUUUAGUGUAUUGAAAAUAAUAUAAUUUUACCAUAACUUAUUUUUUAAAUUGAAUAUUAUAUUUCCUCAUCAACCUCAAUAUGUAAUAAGGAUAAAUCUAAACAAUGAUAGUAGUAUGUAAAUAAUGACAAAUUUUUUGUAGUUAGAAAAAAAAUCAACUAUAAACCGCAAUGAUUGUUUUAUUGAUAAAAUCUUUAAAUUUUUGUAUAAUAUUGUAUAUCUAAAAUAUAAAAAUAUAUUUAACUAUUUUUUAAAGUUAUAGAAUUAAGAUUGAAAUAUUGAUAAUAUUUAAUAAUUAGUUAAACUUUUUUCUUUACAUAAAGCUUCCACACUUCUUUCAUUUCACAUUCUCAAAAGCAAAUACAAAACCUGUUAAAUAGGCAACAAGAAAAAAAAAAGGAGAAAUAACUGCGAAAGUGUAUUUAAUUAUUAUUGAUUUCUAGUUUUGAACGAAAUCUUAUUAAUUUAAAAACUAAUAAGAAACUAAUUAAGGGUAUGUAAUUUGUAAAAGUUUAAUUAUAAUGAUGAAAAUGUUCAAAUGAAAUGAAUUUAGUUAUAUAUAAAACCAUUGAAAAUAGUAUUAUUUUUACUAUGAAUUCAAACGAGUUUAAUCAACAAUGUAAAUUUCUUUAUUUCUUAUCUAAUAUAAAAUAAUAUUUUUAUAUAACCAAUUUAAAUUGAUUGGCUUAAUAAUUUAUAUACAUAAUUGUGAUAAUCGAAUUUAUGAUAGAUUAAUAUUGAAGUUAAAAUAAUGAUUUGAUCUAAUAGAAAAAGAAGCAUCUAAUUUAUUCUAUUCUUGAACUUUAAAAUAGAUAUUAUAAUUGACACUUAGGACCUCAUCUUAGAAAAGCGAGCCAAAUAAUUUUUUCCAAAAAUAACAAUGAAAAGUAGUAUUAAAAAAUAGGAAAAACAAAGUUUAAGAAAAUAUAUAAUUUAUAUUUGAUUAUUAAAAAGACUUGGGUCAACGGUUAUUGUUUUAUAUUUUUUCAUUUAAUAGAAACUAAUUUAAAUUUUUUUUUUAGUUUUUAAAACGGUCUUUUUAAUUUAGUAACUAAUUAUUUGAUAUCUAAAAUUGAUUUUUAUUUAAUUUUGUAGUGCAUUGAAAAAUAAAUUUUUUAAAAAAAGUAAAUAUUUACCUCUUAAAAUAAUGAUAUAUUCUUUCUCUAACAAUAUUUUCUUCAUAGUAAAUUCAAAUCUUAUAUAAGACAUACUAAAAUAGCGUGGCCUUAAUUUUUAUUUAAGACUUUAUUUUAUAAGAAAAAAUAGGGAAAGCAAAUAGGGAAGACCAUACGGGCCGUUCUGUGGCCCACUAGUAAAAAAUACGGGGUGGUUGUAGUUUUUCAACUCGCUAACUCGCUUUAUCUCGUCCCGCAUAAUCCCAGUCUGGACAGGGUAGGCUGGCCCGCUAGCCCGCAAAAAGAAUUAUGUAUUAAUAGGUUUUCAUUUUCCAUUCAUAUUCAUUCAUUCCAAAGCUAUUUUUAAUGUUUUUGAAAUAAAAGAAUAUUAAUAUUUGAUUUUUAUCUUCAUUGAAUUAUUGAUGUUAAACUAUGUUUGAAAUGGAAGAAAAAAAUAUUGAUGUUUGAUAAUGGUAAAUACAAGUUCAAUUUAACAAUUUUUCAAAAACAAAAAAUAUAAAUAUUUUUAUUAAAUUUCUAAAAAAAAAAAAAAUGAACCGUUGACCCACAAACUUGCGGACGGACUCUUAUAUGGGACAGAAUAGAGAAUCCAUUCAUUACUCGACCGACCCACUUUGCCAUCCUAAAAAAAAGUGAGCCGAACAAUUUUUUCGAAAAUAACAAUGCAAAAGUAGUUUUAGAAUGGAAAAGAAAAGUUUGAGAAAAUAUAUAAUUUAUAUUUUAUUAUACAUUAAAAUUGGUUAGAAAGUUAAGAUAAAAGUUAAAAGGGUAACUGAUACUGGAUGCCAAACAAUCAGCCACUAGCUUAAAAUCAAUUAACUCUAGCAGAAAGUUUUUAAACAAGAUUAUUAAAUUAUAAAUACUUGAUUAAAUUAUCUUCAUAAUCAUAAAUAUAGAAUUAUAGAAAUAUAUAUAAGUUCAUACGGUACUUCAUAUAAAUUAUAUUUUUAUUUUAUUUUAUUGUUAAAAAUUUAUUUCCGAAUAUUUAUCAUUUUAAUUUUUAACUAGUCUUAAACUUUUAUAUUUUCUAUUUAAAAAUCAAUCAUUUUAAUUAUAUUUUUUAUAUUGUGUAUUCUAUCAUUCAUAUGACGUAAUAUUGUAAAAUAUUUUCAAACAAAAUUUUAAACAAGAAAAAUAUCAUAUUUUUAAAUAGACACACGUAUUGUGUUACUCGGUUAAAAACAUUUUAAUAUGAAAAAAUAGUGUCCAUCAGAGGUUAAUAUUUUAAAAUUUAUUAGUAAACUAAUGAAAUGAAUAUUGUGAAUAGUAUAAUCAUUAAAAUAAGUAGUGUGAUAUAAAAAUAUUAGAAUGAGAAUUACAUUACAUAAUAUUAUUAUUAUUGAUAUGUAUUAUUAUUAUUGAUAUGUUAUGUGGUAAAAAGGUAAAUCAAUACAUAAAAUAAUUGAAACUGAAAAUAGAAAAAGCAAGUGUAUAAAUUAGUUGAUAACAGAUUAAAAAAAAAACUAAAUGAUAUACUACAUAUGUUAAUUAAUUUAUUUUGGUUAAUUAUUAAGGACACACUAAAUUCAUUAAAGGGUUUAAACGAAAAAUAAAGGGUAAAAUUGAAAUUAAAAAAUAAGAAUGUUUCUUAAAAAAAGUAAUAGGGUAUUGGAUUAAUUUCCGCAAUAAUAUAUGACGCGUAAUCUCUGUUGGCAUGAAGGUCGUCGUCACCUAAUUUUUCCUUCAUUCAAACCUGCAAAGAAAUGUCUUCAAUCUUUUGCCCCUUUCACAUCAUGCUACCUACAAUUGUCUUAUUUUCUAAAAUACUUUCUAAAUUAAUUUAUAUUAUUCUUAAAUAGUUUUUAAAUUGGUAUCUAAUUAACAAUCAAGGUUUUAAAACUUUGGUUGCUAAUUAGAUACCAAUUUAGAAACUAUUUAACAAUCAUAUAAAUUAAUUUAGAAAGUAAUUUUUUUUUAAUUUUUAAAGUGGUCUAUAAUUUAGUUAUUAUUGUGACUAAUUAUUUUAGUAUCUAAAAAUUGGUUUAUAUUUCAUGAUUUUCUUUUUAGUGUAAGCACCCGAUAAAACAAUGGAAAGAGACUUCAAUUUCAAUUGGAGCUUGUAGCCACAUACUAAAGAAUAUCUAAAUAUGUAUAAGGGAAAGUGGGUUCAAGAGUUUUGGUUUUAAAUUUGCAUCAGAAGCUUCCCCUUAAGUACAUAAUGGCACCUUCCACUCAUUUUCCCUUGAAGUAUUUACUUUUAUGAGAGUAGAACAGUGUUCAGUUUCUUUCCACGUUAUUAGAUGCAAUGAAACAACAUAUAUACCCUACCAAUUUCUCAUCAUUAAUAUCUUAUAUGCACAAUUUACAUACAAAAACUAAUUAAUAUACUAAAUAUGUUAAUUAAUUUCUUCCUUUUGGUUAAUUAAUAAGGUCACACUAAAUUCAAUAAAAGGUUUAAACAAAAAAUAAAGGGUAUACUCAAUUCAAAUUCAAAAAUAACAAUGUUUCUAUAAAAAAGUAAUAGGGUAUUCGAUUAAUAUUCUUAAAUGUAAAUUCUUUUUAAAUAUGCAAUAAAAUGAUAUGGUAUUUAAAUGAAUAAUUAAGAAAAAUUACAAAAAAAAAGCACGAUCUUAAAAAUCAUACAAAUUUUAAUGAAUUAUUUAUUUUAUUGAACUUUUGUAAAAUCUGCAUGGUUUUUUUAUUUAUAUGUGUAAUUGUCAUUCUAUAAAACAGUUCCAUUUUUAUAUACUCAUUCAAACUUUUUCUCAAUUUCAACUAUGAUAAAGUAGAACUUUCUCUUCCAUUUUUUUUAUUUACAUAUAAGUAAUUGUAUUGCAUUAUUUUUCUGAAUUGUGAUUUUCUACAAACAAUUCUUAGAUUAUUAUUUUUAUUAUUAUAUAUGAUUGUUCGUUAAAUAAAAGUAAAGUUUUUUUAAAAAAAAUUUAGUCUGUAUACAUAUACUGUUAAAUCAACACCUUGUUUCUCUUAGAUUUUUUAAUUUUUAAACUUUUUAAAAAAUAUGUAACACCCAACACGGUACAAUAAAAAAUAAAUUUGUAAUUAGAUAAUAUAAAAAAUAUUAAAUUAAUAUUAUUAGAAAUGAUAAAAUAAUUAUAUAAAAAAUGUGAAUUCUCAUUAUAUCAUUAAUUAUCCGAAGCCAUGUAAUUUCAUUUAAUGAGCAAUAUGCAAUUACAUGUUUUAUAAAUAUUCCAACAACUUUUAAACUACUUUUAAAAUGAAUGGAAGGUUGUGGUUGAUGCAAACUCAGUGCAAAAAUAAAACCAGAUAUUUUUUGUAAAAUAUCUUAAUUUAAUCUAAAAACCAAUAUAAAACCUCUUUUACGUUUGUUAUUAUAAUAAGUUUUUAAUUAAAAAAAUGUAAGCAUUCUUAUUUCCCUUCAUCUUCUUCUCCUCUUACAUUCAUUUAUUUACAUAUCUAAAACCAUAUAAUACUAGUUCGUUCAUUAUCAUUUUCUCAUUUAUAAUUUUAUAUCUAAACAAUUCAAAAAUAUGAUAUUUGUUAAGAGACUAUUUUAAAUAUAAAAUUUUAUCCACUAAUUUAGUAAAACAAUUAUGUAUAACUUUCCAUAAAAAUUUUAAAAAUAUAAAAAUUAUUUAUAUGUAUAAUUGUCAUUCUAUAAAACAAUUCCAUUUAUAUACUCAUUCAAACUUUUUCUCAAUUUCAACUCUGAUAAAAGUAGAAAUUUAUCUUCCAAUUUAAAUCUUUUUUUUAUUUACAUAUAAGUAUUGCAUUAUUUUUCUGAAUUAUGAAUUUUUACAACAAUUUUUAGAUUACUAUUUUUAUUAUUAUAUAUGAUUGUUCGAUAAAUAAAAUAAAGCUUUUUUUUUUUAAAUUUAGGAUGUAUACAUAUAGUGUUAAAUCAACACCUUGUUUCUCUUAAGUUUUUUUAAUUUUAAACAUUUUUUUAAAAAUAUGCAACACUCAAAUAUGACUUUAGUAAGGAAUGAGACUUAAAGAGAGAGUUUGUGUAGUAAAUAAUUAUUUAUAUGAGGUUAAAAUUACACAAAACUUCAUCCACAAAACAAUCUAAAGUGAGGUUUAAAACCGAAUUUUGAACGGAGUUUUAUAUUUUUAUUUAAAAAUAUUAAAAAAUAGUUUUAAAUUUUCAAAAUGAAAAAUAUUAUCUUAAAAAAAAAUAUUUUAAAUAAAAUUAUGAAAAAAUAUAUGUUUGCAAAAAUAAAAAUUUAGAAAGAUAAUUAUAUUAAGAAAUAAUAUUUUAGAAAAAUAAAUAUUUAAUACCUCUUUAAAUAGUGAUAUAUACUUUCUCGAACAAUAUUUUCUUGAUAGUAGUGAAUACUUCCAAUCUCAUAUAAGACAUACUAAAAUGGCGUGGCCUUGAAUUUUAAGACUUUUUUUUUAUAAGAAAAAACGAUCGAAACAUUUUUUUUUUCAAAAAUAAAAAUGAAAAAAGUAGUUUUAAAAAUAGGAAAAAGGAAAGAUUAAGAAAAUAUAUAAUUUAUAUUUUAUUAUGUUAAAAGAGAAUAACUUAUAGAAAGAUAAGGAAAUUGGGAGAAAUUUGAGUGUUUAUUGAAGAAUUAAAUUAGGUAUUAUAUAAGGCAGCGGAGAAACCUAAAUUAUUACACACUAAUAAUUUAAAAAUGAUAUCCAAAUAUAUAUUAUGAAAAAUGGUUCCAAUAAAUAAUUUAAAAAGACUUGGGGUCAACAGUUAUUGUUUUCUAUUUUUCCACUGAUUUUGGAUAUUUUAAAUUUUUUAUUAUUAUCAUUUACAAUAAUUUAAAAAAUUAUUUGUUUCAGAUAUUUUAUUUAAGUAGGAUAUUUAAUAAUUUAAGAUUUGUAUUCGCUUAAAAUUUUGAAUAAUUUAGGAAUUUUAUUUAUUGUGAAUCUUUAUUUAAAUAUGAAAUUUAAUAAUUUAAUAUUUAUAUUUACUUAUAAAUUUUAAUAAUUUAGGUAUUUUAAUUUUUAAAAUUUUUUAUUUAAGUAUGAUAUUGAAUAAUUUAAUAUUUGUAAUUUUUUAAAAUUUUAAAUAAUUUAGGAUUUUUUAUUUAAGUAUGAUAUUAAAUAAUUUAAAAUUUGUAUUUGUUUAAAAUUUUGAAUAAUUUAGAAAUUCGAUUUAUUUUAUAUUUUAUUUAAUUAAAAUAUUAAAUUAUUUAGAUUUUGUAUCUAUUUAGGAUUUUGAAAUUAAAAAAAAAUAUAAUUUAUUUUAUAUUAUUAUUUAUAUAGGAAAUAAAAUAAUUUAGAAUUUAUUUUUAUUUAGAACUUGGGAAAACAUAGAAGUUUAAUUAAUUUAGAUUUUUAUAUAAGAAUGUCAUUAAAUAUAAUUUGAGAAUUUAUUUGAUUGUCAAUUUUUAUUGAAGAAUGAUAUUAUAUUUUUUGGGACUUAUAUUUAUUUAGGAUUUUAAAAACUUAUAAAUUUUAUUUAGUUUUAAUUUUUAUUUAAGUAGGAAAUAAAAUAGUUUAAGAUUUUGUAUUUAUUUAGGAUUUUAAAAAACUUAAAAAAAUUUAUUUAUUUGAUAUUUUUAUUUAAGAAUGACAUUUAAUUAAUUAGAAUAUGUAUUUAUUUUGAAUAAUUUAACAUUUUAAAAAGAUAGAAAUUUUAUUUAUUUUUGAUAUUUUUAUUUAAGUAUGUCAUAAAAUAAGUUAGGCACCGGAGAAAGCAAUGGCUUGUAGCUUGCAACCACACACUAAAUGAUAUCCAAAUAAUUUAAAAAGACUUGGGCUCAAGAAUUGUUGUUUUAUAUUUUUCCAUAUAUAUGUGUCAAAUUGAUAUAUAUAUAUAUAUAUAUAUAUAUAUAUAUAUAAUAUAUUUAUUUAUUUAUUUAUUUAUUUAUUGCUGCUUGGAUGAAAUAGACUAAAUAUAUAUCUUACCAAUUUCUCAUCACUCGUAAUAACAACGUAUUAAAAAUUAGAAUAUGAUAAUGAAAUGACUUUAAUUUAGUGGUUAGAGGUAUCUGGUUAGUGGUCCUAAGUUUAAGUCUCACCUACAACAAGAUGGUAAUAAUAAUAUAUUCUAAUAAUUAGAAAUAAUAAUCGUGAAUGAUAAAUAAUAUUUUUAAAUUAAUAAUAAUUAAUAACACUAAUAAUUAUCGACAGAAUAUUUUAUUGGUAUAUUUAUCGAUAGAAUAUUUUUCGUCAAUAAAUUUAUCGACAAACAUAUUAUUAGUAAAUUUUUGUCUGUUUUUUUUCAUCGGUAAUACAUGCUUACCAUCGGAUUUUUAUCUUAUCUAUGGAUAAGACUGUUGAUAAUAUGUUUUUUUUUAGUAUGUGAAACUUUUAUCAUUAGUCCAUUCAUUUCUUACUUUUAAACUGAAUAAUCUUAAAGUUGCUAACAAUCUUGUGAAGUUAUUGAAUAUUGGAUAAUUGUUUCUCCAAAUCAAGCAUCAAAGAAUCAUACACAUGUAUUUUUCCAAAAUUUUGUUACAACAAUCAUGUAUCAUUUCCUUUAAAUUAUCGUUUAUCCCUUCUUUAAUAUUUUUUAUCGUCAACAUAAUUUGAGUGACUAAUAUUUUUUCAUGUCGUAAAUAGCUCUUAACAAUAUCAAAGAUAAAUCGAUGAUAAUUAUAAUAUCACAACUAUUAUAUGAUAUGAAUAAUUGUUAUUUGAUUCUUUGAUUUCUUGAAAUUAUAUCAUGCUUGUUAUGAUGUGUUGUAAUUUUUUCUUUUGUUUGCAUUGUAUUCCUUUUAUAUCUUUUGAGUCCAUAAAGUGUUUUUCCAUGACUGCAAAAGGAUGAGUAUGACGGUAUUUGAUAAGCAUAUAUUUACUCACACUUAAUAGUUUUAAUCAUAGAUGUCUUUGACUAAAAUCAUGUAUAACUCUACUAUUUUAAGUAAGAUUCAUCUAACUUGGUACAUUGGAUGGUCUAAUAAGAGCGUUUGCUAAAGAGUUUUAAGGAAGUUUUUAUCUCUACAAGUGGGUCGAAUAUGCGAAAGUCCAAGUUACUUCUUUGAGUCAAAAUGAGAAAAAAAAAUCUCAGGGGAAGAAUUAGAGAAUAAAAUCUAAUAUAUCAUAAAUAGAAUUGGAAGUAAAUCUUCUGCAAAAUACAAUAAAAAACAUAGUUCACGAUGAAAGUGAAAAUAAAAUUUAGGAAUUCUGCAAAAGUUGAAAACUUAAAAUUCGAUGCAAUAUCUAAACUGAUAUAUAUUUUUGAGAUCCUUGGAACAAAGAAACCUACAAAAGGAUGUAAGCUUCAAGGAGAAAUGGGAAAGCUUCAAAACUCAACACAAUGCAUUCAAAAAACAGAGCAUUAGAGUUUUCUUAGGUUUUAUUUGUUUUUCUUCAUUAUAAUUCUUUCGUUUACCUUCAUAUGGAAGGUUAAACUCAUUCAUGUUUAUUCUCUUGUGAUUUUGCAGUGAAUUUUGAGAUUUGUGUUCAAUAAGGUUUUAUUCUUAAAUUCUAUGUAGCAAUUCAUGUAAAAAGGUUUGGUCUUUUUUAAUUUCGAUUUUUGUUAAAGAAUUGUCUUUGAACAAUUGUUAAGAAUUUUGUUAUUUUCUUUAAUUGGAGUUUUUGGUUAGUUUAUUUUAGGGAUAACAAUGCAGAACAAGUCAUGUGGGUUAGACCGCAGUCCGCUACCAAAAACUGCAGGACGAGCUUACUAAUAUAGCCCGCUGACCCGCCCGCAUAACCUGCAACGGGGCAAGGCGGGGCGGGUUGGCCCACUGGCUCGCAUAAAUAAAAAAUUUAUUAUUAUUUGUUUAGUAUAAAAAAAAUCAUACCUCAUUCACCCAUUAUUGCAAUGACAUUUAUUUUAUUUUAUUUUAAAAAAAUUGAAUUUAAUGUACUAAAAAAAGAAUGUUUUAUUUUAAUCAUUUAAAAGAGUUAGUUUUUUUUUAUCAACAAUAAAAAAAAACACUUUAGGGUUGAUCCAACCCAUGUAAAAAAUUGCACAGAAACAAACAACCUCUCCUCCCAGAAGUUUGCUACUAACUUCCUGCUAGAACAAAUACAGUCUGACUAACUUAAAUAAAUCACUUAAGUUUAAUUGAAUACAUACAAACUAGGGGAUCUAGACACCAACAGAAAAGGAAAAACAAGAAGGGACUUUAGAGGUUACCCAGGACCAGACUUUUAGUUGAGCCAUGAAGUUAGUAUGAAGAGUGACAGUGGAUUUAGUUUUAGGUAAAGUCUUAUAUUUAAAAUUUGUUAAUAAAAAAUAAUAUAAAGAAGAGAUUUCAAUAGGAUAGUUAAAAAAUUAGUCAUCUUCAUUAAAAUAUUCGUAUAUAUUUACAUACAUAUAUAGAAAAAAUAGAUGCAAAACAACAAUUUUAAUUAUUUUUAAUCAAACCUUCUAACAAUCCCCAUACUUCAACUUAUAUUUUAAUCUUAAUUGAAUGAAUUGAAACAUGAAUAAAAUUUUAACUUUUCAGUAGUAGAAAUAUUUUUUUUUAUAAUUAAUGAAAUUUUAAUUUUUGAAAAAAAAAUAAUUUUCUUAUGCGGGCUGGCUCGCAGGCCCGCGGGUUAUUUCUUAUGUGGGACGGGUCAGUGAAAUGAGUCCGCACUUGUUGUAUGGGGCGUGCUAACACAGUCCGCAUUUUGUGGGCCAAACGCAAGACGGGCCUAUGCGGGGCGAGCCAACCCUCAUUGUCACCCCUAGUUUAUUUAAUUAUAAUCAAUUUUUUGUUCACUUAGUCAAGAGAUAAACGAUAAACAUUUCACAAGUAGAUGCUUGGAACUUGUGAGAUACUAAAUACAUCAGUAAACGAUUGUUUUGAUAAUAAGAUUAUGUUGACUUGGUUUGUUGAUAAGAUUCUAUUAAAUUCUAUUGACACUUGUUUGGUUAAGUUUGACAUUAUGUAAAAAUUGAAAAAAGUGAACAUCUUAAGAAAAUCAAUAAUAAAUUCAAUGUUGAAUGAACUUAAGAGUUGGACUGGAUUUUUUUUACUAUUUUUCAAUUAUGUACUUUAUUUUUCUACACAAUAAUCUCAAUCUUUUUAUUUUCAUUAUUUUUUCUCACCAUUUUGAUUGCAAAUAAGUUUUGAAUACUAUCUUAACUAGAUUCAGUAGUGGAUUUGUUGGAAGAUGACUUGGAGUCAUCUAACCUUAACUACACUAUCAUUUUUCUAUGAUAUUCGACGAUUUACGCUUGAAUCAUUUUAAUUUCACCACUAAAUGAUAGUUAUCACAAAUCAAUGCUUAUUUAGAGAUUAAAAUAAAAUCUUAUUUUAAAUUUUGUAUAAAAUAAUUUCAUACAAAUAAAACAACAUACUAAUGUACAUAUUAAAUAAUCACCACACUAAAGUAUCAUAAAAAUGAAAUAAUUCUCCUUUAAAUUUUUUUAAAUCAGCAUACCAAUGUUAUAAGAAAAAAUUCAAAAAUAUAAUUAUUAAAUAUUGAAUAUUUAUCCUCAAAUGUGAAAAAGAAAAGUUCAACGAAGACACCAAAGAAAAAUGAAGAUGAAAAACGAUUAACCUUCACAAUAGUGAAGAGAAUAAAUGAUAAGUCUUCACAUUUUACGACAAUAUCAACAAUCAUAAUCAAUGGAGACAACAAAAACCAUAACUAUCACAAUAAAAAUAACAACAACUGAGACAAAAAAUAUUAUAUUUAUUUUAGUGUAUUGAAAAUAAUAGAAUUUUACCAUAACUUAUUUUUUAAAUUGAAUAUUAUAUUUCCUCAUCAACCUCAAUAUGUAAUAAGGAUAAAUCUAAACAAUGAUAGUAGUAUGUAAAUAAUGACAAAAUCUUUGUAGUUGAAAAAAAAUCAACUAUAAACCGCAAUGAUUGUUUUAUUGAUAAAAUCUUUAAAUUUUUGUAUAAUAUUGUAUAUCUAAAAUAUAAGAAUAUAUUUAACUAAUCACCAACAUAAAAAGUGUUGGCGAAGACUAUACGUAAAAUGCUACAAAUGUAAUUAACGAAUCAACGGUUACAUUUAUAAAAGAAAUACAAAUGUGAUAAGUUGUGGAGGAUAAAUUAAUAUAUAUAUAUAUAUAUAUUUUGUAACAUUAUGUUUUCUAAUCAACAAAUUUUAAAAAAAAAGAUUGAUUUAUAAUAGUGAUUGUACAAAUCAUAUGAUUAAUUUUUUUCAAAAAGCUCAACAAAUUUAAUAUUUUAAAGUAAGAAUUAAAAAUGAAGACCCAUUUAUUUUGGAAGAUAUAGAAACAAUUGCAAUUGAAAUUUAUUUAGGUAUCAAAUUACCUUUUAAUGUCUUGAUAUUAAUCUUUUGAUUUGUUAAUAGUUGUUCAACUUUAAAGAAAGGUUAAUAAAAAUAGAUUUGAUGAAAGAAAAGUUAACUAUAAAUGAAAAGAAUGAUUUAAAAUUAAAAAAAGAUGGAUAUUUCUUGAAGAAAUUUGAUGUCCAAGAAGAAAAACUAGAAAAAAAAAACACAUUUUAACAUCAUCAAAGAUUUCAAUGUUACUACCAUGAAAUGAGAUUAAUAAAAAAGAAAUAUAAUGAAAGAAUUAAAUAGAAAAAGAAAGAAAAAUGAAGCACUAAAAAAAGACAAUUAAAUCUUGAAUUUAAAAUUCAAAUAAAGAGCUAUUAAGAUAAAGAAGAAUGUUAAUAUUUGCUUCAUUUUAUUUUAAUUAAUUUGUAAAUAAUCUUUUAAUUUUUUAAACGUUCUAUACAAAAUAUAAAAAAGGAAUUUAAUUAUUAUUAAUAUUCUAUUCGACAUAUAGAAUAUUUUACUCCAAGUAUAAAAUAUCAAAAUAAAAUAAAUAACAAAUUCUUUCAUAAUAAUAUAUAUAAUAAAAAUAAAAUAAAUAAGAACCUCAAAUAUUAUAUAUUUCUUAUAUCAUCAACAAAGCUAUUUAUUACAAUAAAGUAUCACGAUCUUCCUCUAGGAUGAGUUCAACCCCAUUGUUUGUUUCUAAAUUCCGUAGCGUGUCAUACAUUUGUUUCGAGCAUUCCCUUACAUUUACUCUUCUCAAGCCACUCAAAGACCAAAGUUCAUUUGGGAGAUCAUCUAAGCUUUCACAAUUGUAGAUGAUCAAACUUUGAAGCCUUGACAUUCCACCAUUGCCUAAUUUCCACUUUUCAAGACUCAAAUAUGCCAUUUCAAAAACUUCCAAUUUUGGGAAGCUGCCUUCCACACAAUUCAGGUCAAAGGAAUCCCCCUUAUAUAGAGGUCCCCAAAGUUCCAAAAUUUUGAGUUUGGUGAGAUUUCCCAAACCAUUCAUCCCCUCAUCAGUAAUGCGGUUAAUCUCUGACAACUCUAACUCCAUAACGUUUGGAGGAAAUGUGAAUGCACAAGUCAGAAGGUCAAAAACAUUUUCAAUAAUUAAGAAAGUUAUACAAUUGAACUGCCCUAGGCUUUGCAACAGUUCUUUCGGCUUGCAACCUUUGUCAUAAAUAUCCCAGAGGACAAUCUCUAACUUACUCAAAUGACUUGAUUGUUGUAGGCUUUGCAACAAUUUGGUUAUUUCAUCAUCUUUGUAUUCAGAAGUCACACACAACCUUAUCAUCUUAAGAUUGGGGAAUGUUCCUUUCUUUAUCAGAGAUGUUGCUUGUCUGUUGACUACGAGGUCAGAGAUGGUUUGAAGAUUCCACAUCUUCUCAUCUGAUCCUGAACAAUUGCCUCGUAGCUUGAUAGGCCCUCGUGCAUUCAAAUGCCUUAAAUGUUUAAGUUUCCACAUUUCGACUGGGAAAGAAAUUUCAGUCACAUACCUCCAAUUACUUAGGUCUAUGAUUUGUAGAUUCCAAAGGUGAAGUAUUGAAGAUGGAACAAAUGUAAAAUCAGAUGUUGCUUCAAUUCUCAAGUACCUUAAGUGGAUAAAGUUCCCUAAAUUAGAAAGGGUGCUAAGCCAGGUUGGUCCAAGCUCCAACACUCGAACCAAUUUGAAGUCUUUUGAAAGCCAUUUCCACUGCUUCCCAGUACCAAAGUCAUCUUGGCCAAAUAAGAACAGGGAUCGGAUACAUGAAUGAUCAUUGUUGCUCGAAGAAAUGUAAUGACCCACCUUACAGUGAAUGGAUAGUCUACGAGGUUUUGUCGGGAUUAGAAUGUUAUUGUCUGUGCAAAUUUCAAAAACUUUGUCCUCUUUACUCUCUGAUAUGCAGAGGUCUCGAAGAAGAUCAUGAACGUGAACAUCUCUAUUAGUCUUCCCUUUUGCUACUUGGACCAAACUACGAUCGAUGAGCUCAUACAAGUAGUCUUCAGCAACUUCAUCUGGAUCUCUAUUCCCUGUAUCUUGUAUAAAACCCUCGGCAACCCAUUUUUGCAAUAAUGGCGUAACAGGGAUUUGAAAGUCUUCAGGAAAUAUCCCAAGAUAGAGAAAGCAUGGUUUUAAUCUCCUUGGCAAGUUGUCAUAGCUGAGUUUGAGAACUAUAUCCUUCACUUGGGUAUGAUCUCGAGUGAGAUACCAAUUAACAUGACCCACCACUUUUGACCAUUCUCUGUGUGAUUUUUCCUUGUAGGCUAGCAGUCCUGCUAAGACAAUGAUGGAGAGCGGCAAACCACGACAACUUUGAACCAUUUGCUUUCCAAGAGCCUCCAAAUCAGAAGGGUAGUCUUCACCCCUAAACACUUUCCUGCAAAACAACUCCCAACUUUCUUCUUCACUCAGGAACUGCAGAUAGUAAGGAAGAUCAUGGGAAGUAUGCAGUGCCACCUCUUUCAAACGACUAGUGAUCAAUACUCUGCUGCCUCUGUUGUUGUCCGGAAAAACAUCUUGCACCUCGUCCCAAUCUUGCCUUUUCCACAGGUCAUCUACCACCACAAGAUAUGUUCUACUCUCCAAGCUGUUUCGCACCAGUUUCUUCAGCUCCUCCUCACUCAAGCUACUAUUGUCUUGAGUGCUUUUCUUUCCUUUCUUCUUGCCUCUGCAUUGUUGUUCAAAAUUUGGCAUC
rnacentral:lncRNA from 1 species